rnacentral:rRNA from 1 species
UACGUAGGUGGCAAGCGUUAUCCGGAUUUAUUGGGCGUAAAGGGAACGCAGGCGGUCUUUUAAGUCUGAUGUGAAAGCCUUCGGCUUAACCGGAGUAGUGCAUUGGAAACUGGGAGACUUGAGUGCAGGAGAGGAUCGUGGAAUUCCAUGUGUAGCGGUGAAAUGCGUAGAUAUAUGGAGGAACACCAGUGGCGAAAGCGGCUCUCUGGUCUGUAACUGACGCUGAGGUUCGAAAGCGUGGGUAGCAAACAGG